UACGUAGGGUGCGAGCGUUAAUCGGAAUUACUGGGCGUAAAGCGUGCGCAGGCGGCUAUUUAAGCUUGCUGUGAAAGCCCCGGGCUUAACCUGGGAACUGCAGUGAGGACUGGAUGGCUGGAGUGUGGCAGAGGGGGGUGGAAUUCCAGCGUGUAGCAGUGAAAUGCGUAGAGAAUGUGGAGGAACACCGAUGGCGAAGGCAGCCCCCUGGGACUAACCA
rnacentral:rRNA from 1 species